rnacentral:lncRNA from 1 species
UUUUUUUUUUUUUGCUCUUAUAAUAUGCAAGAGUUGUAAACUUAUGUACAUAGCCUUCAACAAAUGUAAUCUCUACCGAGUUUUGUUGACUUUCUCCAUUUAAAUUUGUUUGUCUUGCUUUUCUUUUUAGUUAGUUUCUAAAAAAAUCUUUUUUUCUUUUUGGUAAUUCUUUAAUUCUAACUUUUCGGGUGUCAUCACAAAAAUCACAAAAUUAAAGGGUAUUUUGAUAGAUUUUACAUAUCUUUAAUUUAAGACCACAAGAUUUAAAAGAUUGAGAUUCAAACUCUUACCAACGAGGUAAAAGUUUAGAUAGUCAACCAACUGAAUUAUUAAGAUUUUUCGAAAUUAUCAGCAUUUAAUGACCAGUUAGUUAGAAAAUUUUCUUUACUUCUUCCCUUUGACUGUUGAAGGCAUCUGAGUUUCAUAGUUAUAUGUCAGAUUCUAAUUGAGAUUGUGCAUAAAAUAAAAAUUAUUGAGUUUAAAGAAGGCACAUUCUCUUGUUUAAUUUUGUUUUUGCAUAAUUUCUGUUAGCAGUCAAUUAGAAUCUCUGUGCUGGCUUUCUCAUAACAUUUUUUAUGCCAACUGGAAGUCAUGUUAAAAUGUUUAUUAGAAGGCAUAGUACAUAUUUAUAUCUUUUCAUUUGGAUUCAGCUGGUAUUUAUGUUCUCUAAUUUUGGAUGUGCAUAAAUAAACACUUAAAUUUGUAUAAAAUUAAACAAAUACACACACGCGUCCUACGUGGCAUAAUACAUAUAGUACGCUACGUAGGAGACAAAAUUAUCAUAUAGGAUGCCACGUAAGACGAAUGUGUCUAUUUGUUUAAUUUUAUGCAAGUUUAAAAGUCUACUUGUGCACACCCAAAUUUGAAGGGCAUAAAUGUCAGUAAAAGCCAAUUUGAAAGGGACGUUUAUGUAUAAUGCCUUAUUAAAACUGUGAAAGAUCCCUUUAUUACCGAUGGACUUCAAUAUGUAUACCGAAUAUUGGGUGGAUGAGAAAAAAAAAACUGUGAAAGAUCUAGAAUAAUGGUGUCAUGAGUAGAUACAGAAAAAUAAGGGAUAUAAAAGUACCUAAUUAAACUAGCUCAAUCAUACACAUCAAAUUAGUUGGAAAAAUAAUAUAGAUCAUAUCUUAUAAAGGGAUCACAAAUCUGAUACUGAAUCUCAGGACCAUCCAAAGCAAAUCUGUUUAUUACUACUUUUAUAAUACAAAUAAAAUCAAGAUUACUAAAUUACUAGAUUAGAUAGAUGAGUUAAUAUGCACAUGUAGACAGUUAACAAAGAAUGAAAAACUUGUGAUCAAUGAUUGAACAAUAUUGGAUGAAUAUAGUACUAAUAUAAUGUAAGAUGACAACAAGCUCACAUGUAAUAUAAUUGUAGAUCCAGGACAUGUGUUCUUGAGAAGAAAGAUGGAAAAUUACAUACCUGAAUUGGUAGGGCUGUUACGGAUCAAAGUCACGAUAAACAACUAAUAUAUUACACAGGAGCUAGCUCAUGAAGGGAGGAUUGUCCAAGUGUAACGGCUCAGUCCGCUAGUGAUAUUAUUUGCUAUAGGCCUAGGCCUGCACAAUUUUAAAAUGUGUCACUAGUUGGUAAGAUCUGCUUACUUAUAUACUCAAUAUUUCUCAUGUGUUAACCGCCCCUCUCUGAUACCAUUUGUAACGACUCAACCCUCUAGGGAUAUUGUCCUCUUUGGGCCUAGGUCAGCACGAUUUUAAAACGCAUCACUAGUUGGUAAGGCCUACUUACUUAUAUACCCAACAUCUCUUAUGUAUUUUGCCGAUGUGGAACUUCUUAUCUUAAGUUGGGAGUCACACCAAGUCUAUAGAAUUAGAUCAUCAGUACAUUCUCCAACAAAUGUGGAACUCUAAACACUUUUUUGCACGUCCAGAUCACCCAACUACAAUGUGGAUUUUUAGUUUAAACAGAGAUGAAUCUUACUCUGAUUCCAUAUAAAAAAAUGAUACUUGAAUCUAAUUCAACACCAAAAACUAUAUCAUUAGAAAAAAGAAUUACUCAAAUUCAUAUAAGCAGACCAUCAGUCAAAUAUGUUAUGAAAUUCAGCAAUUAUAGUGUAAUAAUUCUACAAGCCUGAGCCAGAUCAGAUGCUUCUGAUUUGAUUAUAAGUUGCAGAGAGUUUAAGGAUUACUCAACAAUUCAUUAUUUGGUUGAGCUUUUAUGAUUGAAAGAUGCAGAGAAUGAGAGCAAUUAUAUAUGCUUAUAAUUAAAAGGUCACAUCAUAAAUGAGCAAUGAACUGUUAGCACAAGCUGAGUAAAAAGAUAAAGUAGCAAAAAUCAAUAAACUAUUAAACAGAACAAAUAUAUAUAUAAUAAAUAAAAGAAAUAAUUACUGAAUCUAUGUGACGUUAGGAAGUACGCAGUUUGAGCACAAAACUAUGUGCUAUUCUUGAAAUGUAUUGUUCCAAAAAUUUUCUUCCAUCUAUAAGUUGGGAAUUGAAAAGAGUGUUGGUGGAUUUGGUCCCAGCAUUUUUGGAAACUACUGACAGAAAUUUAGGGUGUUUGGUACCAAUGAAAAUGUUUUUCACAGAAAAUGUUUUCUUGAAAAAUAAGGCGGUCUCUUAUUUAUUUUCUAGUAUUUCGUAAGAAAGUAAGAAAAUAUUAUCCCAAGAAUAUUCAUAUGUCAUCCGGCAAAAUAUUAUGGAGGCGGAUAGGGAUGGGGGAGUGGGAGUUCAGGGAUGGGGGGAGUGAGUUCAAGGGGUGAGAGUUGGGUGAGUGGGAAGGAGACAAUAAACUUGGAAUGUCACUCACUAUAGAAAUACGUCCUCGAAUCACGAAGAAAUCUUAGGAGACAAGUAUCAAGUGAAGAACAAAAUUGUACUCACAUUGUUUUAUCAAUAAAAUUAUGUUUUUUUUAUAUUUUAUUUAUGAUUACAAUUUAUUUUCUAUCACUCAAUUUGUUGCAAAUAAUCACUUAUGCUACUAGUUUUCCCAACUUGCAUUAGAAAAGUCAUUUUCCUCUUUUUAUGACACUUCCCACCAAUUAAUCCCUCUAUCAUCAUACCAAAAAUGAUCUUUAAUGGUAAUUAAUUUGCACUCUUUUUGAGUGUCCCUAAAAUGUCCUAAAGUUUAUAGCGAUAUUGAAUUACUCAGCUUGGAACGCAGACACCACUUCUUUUGCAGUCAUCUUGGAGGCUGUCUUGAUGCAAAUAGUUAUUAUUACUAAAAGUGGAGUCACAUGCACCUGUAUGCAUACUUCAAUAGAAGUCUAUUGUUAAAGGAAAUAAAAUUUAAUAAAAGCAGAACAUGUCCAAAUUACUUCAUAAAAGGUCUAUGAAUUAACAGAAACCUAUUUAUAGUGAAGCACCAUUUCCAGAUGUUCUGCAUAGUAACUUUAAUAUUCACAUCCUUAUCGAUGACAUAGUAGUACAUAUUGUUAUGAAAUCGUUGUACAAUCAGCUAUUCCCAACGCAUCAGCAACAAAAAUAAUGCAGGCCAUAAUGCAAUAACUUCACAACACACCUAGCAACUUGAUCACUUCACUCUGAUGCAUACUACACUACUAUUGAACAUAUUGCAUUUUUUAAUUUAUUGAAUUUUAUGACCAAAGCCAUGUGAGUUAGCCCUCCCCCAUAACAACAAUGUAUGCUAGCAGCUAUAUAAAUAUAAGACAUUCCUUGAGCAAACUUCAGGGCAAGUGUUAGUUCAAUCUAAAUUACUCUAAUAUUAACAUAUCAACAAGUCAUGGGAUUUCGUUUGUUACCUAUGAUAGCCGGUGCCAAGAAAAUCCACAAAAUGCAAUCUGUUCUUACAAGAAAUCAUUCAGAUGUUCCAAAAGGACAUUUUACAGUUUAUGUAGGUGACACAGAGAAGAAACGAUACGUGGUGCUAAUAAGUAAUAACAUACCUGAAUCAUCCUUCUUUCCAGAAGUUGUUACGGAAAUCAGAAGAAGAGUUUGGAUUUCAUCAUCCGAUGGGUGGUUUAACAAUACCUUGCAAUGAGGAUGAUUUUUUCUACGUCACUUCUCAAUUGAGUUUAUGAAAUGUAGAACCAUGAGAGAGUACUGUUGUAGACAUCAGACAAUUUUGAGCUUAGAAUUUUCAUCUUGCUAGGCAAGAGUAGUAAACUUAUGUACAAAGUUAGCAAACAAUACAAAUGAAAUUUUUACAAUUGUUUAUUGUUUACUUAAAAUGGAUAGCCAAAUUCUUUAUCUGUGAAAUUAUCCUGUAUUCUUCUAUAUUACGACUGCAGUUCCCAGAUAGCUCGUGUGCACUUCAACUAAUUCACGAAACAGUUUGUUAUCUCCACAAGCACAGCCUAAAAAGUUCUACAUGAUAUCUUAAGAUAUGCAAUCUAGGCUUUAGUUUGCAAUCAGUUUAAUAGUUUUCUGAUAUGAAUCUCUAUAUAUCUCGUGGUUUUUAUAUAUGAAAUCAUUUCACAUGGCAAGUAGAAGUUAUGUUAGGAUGAUUAUUUAAUCUAUUGAAAAUCUUGAUUGAUCUGUUAGGAGGAAUACCCAUAGUAUUAGAGCUGUAUUAAGGCAUCAAAAUCUGAUGCUGUAUCUUAAUACAAGCCAGAGCAAAUCUGUUUAUUAGUACUUUUUUAAUACUAAGCAAAUCUUUAUCACUAAAUACAAGAUAACAUGCAUGAAUUUAAUAUCUUUCAAUUUACAUGUGGACAGUUAACAAAAAGGCCACAGGAAUGACAAACGUCCUAUAGAUGAUUGUUAUUCGAGCAUAUGCCAACCUGCAAUAUAAUGACAUGAUAAAUAACAGUUCACAUGUACUUUGAGACCUAUGGGACAUGUGCUCUGAGAUGAAAUGUAGAAAAGGACAAUACCUCAAAUUGGUAGGGCAGAUAUGUCAGGAUGAACAACUAAUCACUCAUUCUGACAGCAGAAAAUGAACCAAUCUUGAUUGAAGGCCAAAAUACAAGAUAAUUCACAGCGCCUGAACAAGAAGAAUGCAGGUGAGUGGUGUAAUAAAAUGAGCCAAGGGGCACUGCUAGCUUCAUCACCAAAGCAUUAGUAUCAAAAACCCCAUAUUGUUUUGCUUGUAGGGAACUUCCAUCGAUAACCAGCAAGGACGGCUGCAAAUACAAUAAUUGCAUUCAAGUAUUACACCAAACAACAAAGGCCCCAAAUAUGCCUCAUUAGUAAAUCUGUUUCCAGACUGAAGACUGAAAUGAUAAUCAGUGAGACAACAUUGCUCUCUGUCACUUCUCAGUCAAAUGUCACUUCGUUGUCAAUUAACAAAGGUGUACAAUCCUAGUUCUUCAAUCGAUACCAUCAUGUAUGUUGUUGAAGCUUGUUAGCUAGUAAUAGAUUACAGAGUCCUCACAUUAUAAUUACUUGAUAUUAUAGAUACUAUUUUCUUGUAAAAGUGUAACUAUUGAUCCAAUUCAUCAUCUCGUUAACCUGCAAUUUCUAUUAAGAACAAAAGAUUCUGUCAUAUGACAUGAUAUAGGCUUUUGUUCUGUUUCUAAUCCAGCAGCUUUACCAUACUUACUUGACACUACUCAUUUAGUUGCAUAAUUUCCUUGCAUGGACAAUCAUUAAGUGGAAUCAUUUGCUAUAAAAUUGCCAUUGCGCGAUCCUAGUUUUGGAAUCAUCAAGAUUUAUAGUAUAGCAUUCAAAAUUCAGUUACUUGCAUAUGAACAAAUGGAUCCUUUUUAAGACUGUUAGAAUAAUGCAUUAUUUUCAGAAAUUAGGGAUGGCUUCUAGUGCUACUUUUUUCUUUCCGUGCGGAGCUUUCUAAGAUAAGCCAUGAGAGCCUGGACAUCUAAGGUAGGCGCAAUAUACAAUUGAAAUAUUCAAGGCAUUAAAACCUGAUUUGACAAAAUACAAGAUUAAAUGCAUGAAGAUUAACAUCAGAUGUGGACAGUUAACAACUUGUUAUCAAUGAUUGAAUAUUGAAUGCCCUAGCAACCUGCAUGCGCCAGAACAGUAUCCGGAUAAUUAAAAUUGUCCUCAUAAUCACAUGUAGUUGUGUACCUAUAGGACAAGUGCUCUUGAGAAGAUAUGUAGAAAUUAAAGGACAAACCAAAUUGGUAGGGAAGAUAUGUCAGGAUGAAUAACUAAUAAGUCACUGUGAUUAUAGGUUAACAAUCAAUCUUAAUAAAACCAUUGAGGGAAAAAAAAAAAGAGAUUUCAUAAUGCUCGGAAAUAGGAAACUACAGGUGAUCGUGGAAUUGUAAGAAACUCCAAGCCAGUACAUAAGAAAAGACUGGGAAGUAAUAGAAGCCUAUUUAUAGUAAAGUAUGGAGAUCAGAGAUGGUGACUUUGAUAGUCACGUUCCUUCGUCAAAUAGUAUUGUUAUGAAUGUUUUCAUUGUACUACCAGCUAUUCCCGAGACAUCAAUAAUAUUAUUAGAGCAAGCCAUGCAAUAACUUUAUAGGAAUUGAUGAUGUUCUUUAGCCAAUUGACUACUUCAGGCUGAUGAAUUCACAAAGAACAAAGAUACUGCAUUUUAUUGAGCUAUAUGAUCAAAGCCAUGUGAGGCUCCCAUCCCUCUCACACCUCACUAGACGCAUAGCCCAUAACAACAGCAGUAGUUAAAGUAGAAAAUUAAGGCAUCAAGAUCUGAUGUUUAAUGUUAAGACAUGCCAAAGAAAUAUAUCUGUUUAUUACAUUUUUAAUAUAAAGCAAAUCUUUGUCACCAAAUACAAGAUAAAUGAUGAAUAACAUGUAUUUGAAGUCACAUGACAACAGUUAACUUGUUAUCAAUGGUUUUGAAUAUUGAAUGCAUAUUGCAACCUGCACCAGAAUAGUAUCCGGAUAAGUUAAAAUGACCUCAUAACCACAUCUUGUUGUACCGAUAGGACAUAUGCAUAUUGGUGGGGAAGAUAUGUUAAGAUGAACAACUAAUAAGUCAUUGUGACAACAAGUAAACAAUCACUCUUGAUUUUAAUAAUUGAGGACCAAGAAGAGAUAUUUUCGCAGUACUCAAAAUAGAAAAUGCUGGUGAGAGGAAAUGUAAAUUAAGCAGAGGGGGGUCAUGGACGCGGUUAUGAGCAGUAAACUAUAUGCUAUGCCAUCAUGUAUUGUUAAAUCAAAAGAAACUUCCUCUAUCUUACACCAGCAAGUUGUGGGGAGCAAACAAAGCUCUCUUACAGUGAAUUUUGGUCCUACACUGUCGAUGUCAUGCUACUAUAUAUAUAACUCAGAGAACUCAUUUGCAAAAUCAAGUUUCUUUCUUCACACUACACAUCACUCUUACCAGCUAAAAGUUGAAGAGAAGUUCAUCGGUCAUGAGGAAUCAUCUCAAGACAAUCUUUCAUCAUGCUAAACACAAUUAAUAUUCUUCUCCGUCAAGGAUCAACUGCAACCACUUCAUCAACAUCAACAAAAUUAACAGACAUUCCCAAGGGUCACAUGGCAGUUUAUGUUGGAGAGAACCAUAAUAAUAAACAUAGAUUUGUGGUUCCCAUCUCUUGCUUGAAGCAUCCUUCGUUUCAAGACUUGUUAAGGCAUGCAGAGGAGGAAUACCGAUUUGAUUAUCCAAUGGGAGCCCUUACUAUCCCAUGUAGUGAGACUGCAUUUCUCUGUGUCACUUCUCACUUGAAUGUCAUAACCAAUUAGUGAAGGCGGCACAGAAGUAUAGUUCUUCAAUCUGUACCAUCUUGUAUAUUUGUAGGUUAGAAGCUUACUACUGUAGUUCAUAGAUUACUACAAUCCUAACCUACAAGUGUAACUCUAUGUGAAAUUCAGUAUAACAAUGCAAUAGUAAUCACAAACAAUAUAUUAAAUCAAAUCAUUCAUUUAUGAUCUUAUUAACCACUUGCAGAGGAAUUGGAGUUUGAUUAUGCUAAUCUACAACUAUCAGAACUGUGUUUCUCUGUUAUGAAAGUAUCUUAAUUUUCCUUUGAUCGCAAGCGAUUAUUUGGUUAUAGUGAUUAAUAUUACUGUGGACUAUAUCUGUAGGUUCUAAAAUAAGCCAUAGCAAUGAUAAAAUUAUGAUCAAUGAUUGAUUAAAUAUUAGAUGCACAUAUCAAUAUGCACCAAAUAAUACUCAGACUAUCUAACAUAUAAUUUCAUCUCUAGGACAUAGGCUCUUGAAGAAAGGUAGAAAAAGACACAAGCAAAAUGGUAGGGAAGAUAUUGAGCUCAAAAUAACAACUAUUAUUGUGACAACAAGAAAUAAUUAAUCAUUGAGGGGCAAAAACAUAGAUAUGUCACAAUCUUUGAACUAAAAAACAGCUGAUGAAUGGACUUGUCAAGAAAAUAAUUUGAGGGGCACUAAUUGACAAAAACAGUGAUCUUUCCUCUAUCCAUUUGCAACUAAUUGACAGAUUUUUUAAACUUUUUUUUACCAUGGUGUUCGGAAAGCUUGUGCAGAUACUAGCUAACUGAUGGAAUAUUACCAAGUGAAAGCAAAUAGUAACAAAUUAAUGAACUGAGUAUGAAAAAUUAAAGUUGAAUUUUUGGAGGUACAAAAAAUAUCUUUAGAUAUUUAGUAGAACUUUCUAGAAUUUUGAAGAGCAAAUAUCUUUGAUAUUUAUAUUUAAGAAAAAUCUAGAUGUUCUAGAUAAUUAGAUAUUUAUAUUAAAAUAUAGAAAUAUCUAGAUUCUUGUUACAUAGUUAGAGGAUAAGAAUAUCUAGAUAUUUCUUGUAGAUGUAUCUAGAAUAAUUUCUAGAAGACAAGUAUAAAUAGGGGUGACAUUAGACAUUUGUAAUCAAUCUAAGAACAACCUAAAUCAAAGAGUCUUGUUCCAUAUUCAAGUUCUCCUAUCCAAAUUCUUCCUUUUCCUUUCUAGCUUCCUCUUCUUUAGUUGAAUCUUCCGAUCUUAGUUAACGAUCUUGGGCUAGCAGAAGGUUUUCCGAUUAUACUUUCUUCUGCUAUUCUCUACACUGAGUUCUAUUUAUUCACCAAAUCAUUUUCCUUUUCUAAUCUUUCAGAAAGUUGUUUACCUGAGUAGAUUUCCAUAAGUCUCAUUUACAAUACUUCAUGAAUUGGAUUAGUUCCUAUAAGAAACUAGUUCAAUCUCAUACAGCAGAUUAAAGGCAGAUGCUGUAUCUUAUAACAAGCGAGAGAAAAUCUGUUUAUUAGUACUUAUUUUUAACACAAAUCAUAUAUUUAUCUCUAAAUACAAGAUUACAUGCAUGAAGUAAAUAUCUUUCAAGUUGCAUGUGGACAGUUAACUAAAAGGCCACAGGAAUGACAAACUUCCUAUCGAUGAUUGGAUAUUCGGGCAUAUGCUAACCUGCGAUAAUAUAAUAGUAACUGAAUAAUCUAUAUAUAAUGAAAUGAUAAAUCACAUUUCACAUGUACUUGAGACCUAUAGGACGUAUUCUGAAAAGAAAUGUAGAAAAGGACAAUACCUCAAAUUGGUAGAGCAGAUAUGUCAGGACAAGCAAUAAAUUACUUCAUCCGUUUUAUUUUGUUUGUUUGAUUUUGACUUGGCAUGGAGUUUAAGAAAAUAAAGUAAGCUUUUGAAUCUUGUGGUCGUAAGCAUGAUAUGUAGAAAGGACUGCUGCAAAUACAAUAACCUGCAGGGACUGCUGCAAAUACAAUAAAUUUUGGCACCACACAAAUUAGAGAAGCAGAUGGUAAAAAAUAAUUGCAUUCAAGUACUACACCAAACAACAAAGGCCCAAAAUAUGCCUCAUUAUAGUAAAGUUGUUUUCAGUCUGAAGACUGAAAAGAUAAGAGUAACAAAAACAAUAAAUUAUCAAAUAGAAAAGCAAUAAUUGAGCUGGAAACUAUGUGCUAUGCUAUAAAUGUAUUGUCUAAUCAGAAGAAAAUUCUUCUAUCUUUAGAGCAUCAAGUUGGGGUGCAAACAGAGCUAUCUGACACGAUAAUAUUAAGCAAUCGAGUCCACUGUCAUGUUUCGUUAAAGUGAAUUUUAGUCCAACGGGGGGCCUUACUAUUCCCUGCUAGUGAGACAACAUUUCUCUGUGUCACUUCUGAUCACUUGAAUGUCAUUUCAUUACCAAUUAAUAAACAUGUACAAUUCUAGCUCUUCAAUCUUUACCAACAUGUAUAUUGUUGAAACUUAUUAGCUAGUGUAGCUAUUGAUCCAAUUCCGCAUCUCGUGAAGCUCAAUUCCCUAUUGUUAAGAAGAACAGAUUCUGUCAUAUGACAUGAUAUAUAUAAAGCUGGAUUUUCUACUGUUUCUUAUCCAACAACUUUACCAUACUUGUUCGACACUACUCACUUAGUUGCAUAAUUUCCUUGCAUGGACAAUUGUUAUAGCACCAAGGCAGUGUGGAGAUUCUGUUUCUUCAUUUCAGGAGCAUAUAAACCAUACUAGUCACUAGGAAGAGCACAAAUACGACAUACAAUAGCCUCUCGUAAGCACUAAUUAUUAACCACUUGCAAGUAGUCUUGAAGUGUGUGAUCAUCUUAUCUAAAAACUUAAGUUGUUAGAUGAGGUGCCUGCGAUCGAAUCUCACUGUCACCCAAAUUAAAAAAGAAUUUUCACGUACUUGACCCAUAAUUAGGCCCGCACGUAAGGGUGUGUUGGGAAUAUCAUUAACUAAUAAAAGUGUGUUAUCUCUAACAUCUUAAGGUUUUUGAUGAGAUGGUUACGCACUUCAACGAUGGAUUGGUGGUAUCCUUAUAUGGACUUGGGCAAUCCUCCUCUCAUGAGCUAACUUUUGGGGUUGAUUCAGGCACAAGUUCCAUAUUUUCACAAGAGGAACUGGAGUUUGAUUAUGUUAACCUAAAACUUGAACUGUGUUUCUCUAUUUUAAGAAUAUGUUAAUUUUCUUUUUAUUGGAAGUUCUUAUUUAGUUUCACUGAUUGUUAGAAUAAUGCAAUAUUUUCAUGAAUUAGGGAUGGCGUCUAGUACUACUCUUUCUUCCCUGGAGAGCUAUCUAAGAUAAGUCAUUCGAGACUGGACCAUCUAAGAUUAGAGCUGUCAAUAUGGGCUGGCCCACCCCAUUCGGGUCAAUCCAUACAGGCUGUGACAUUUGUCGGGCCAGGUUGGGCUAACCCAUUUUUUGUGUGGGCAAGAAAAUGGUUGGCUCAGCCCACAAGUACGUGGGCUACGGGGUUUUCCGGGCCAGCCCUCUUUUUUUAAAAGUAUAUUUUUUUAUAAUUUUUUAAAUUAAAUUAUAAUUUAAAAAUAUUAUUAUAAAUAUCGACAAGACAAUAUUACAUGUUAGUGUUACUAUUUGUUAAUCAAAAUAUCAAAUACACAAAUAAAAUUAUCUUUAUAAUAUUUAUUACGUUUGAUUUGAAGUAAAGCAUAAAUAGCUAAAUAGAAAUAUUAACCUAAUUGUUUUUCAAUGAUCAUAAUAAAAUAUAAAAACUAUGAAAAUAUUCUCUAGAAAUUUUAGGGAAUUUUAUUUUAUGUAGUACAUAUUUUAUAAACAUAAUUUGUAUUUAAAUUGUAAUAUUUCAAACUUUAACAUAUAUUGAGUUUAGACUCUUGUUAUUUUUAAUAUUCUAUUUUAUUUAUAUUUUUUAAUUAAUUUUUAUUUGACCCACGGGCCGGCCCUAUCCAUAUUUGUCAAGCCCCACAAAUUGACAGACUUAUUCAAGCCGGGUUAAAAAAUCAUUUUCUUAAAUGGGCUCCAAAAAUCAACUAGCCCAUAUUGACGGCUCUAUCUAAGAUAGGAACAUUCAGAAACGUGCAAGUAGCUGACAUAUAAGUGAAAUCUUUGAGGCAUUGAAAGAUGAUAUUUGUAUAUUAAGUGAAAGCAAAAUUGUUUAUACAUAUUUAGUACAAAGCAAAUCUUAAUGACUAAAUACAAGAUUAAAUGCAUGAAUAUUAACACCAGUUGUGUGGACAGUUAACAACUUGUUAUCAAUGAUUGAAUAUUGAAUGCCCUAGCAACCUGCAUGCGCCUGAAGAGUAUCGGGAUAAUUAAAACCUCAUAACCACAUGUAGUUUACUCUACAACAUGUUCUCUUGAAAAGAAAUGUAGAAAAGGAUAAGCCAAAUUGGUAGGGAAGAUAUGUCAGGAUGAACAACUAAUAAAUCAUUGUGACAACAAGUAAACAAUUACUCUUGGUUUUAAUAAUUGAGUACCAUGAAGAGAUAUUUUCGCAGUGUUCAAAAUAGAAAAUGCUAGUGAAAGGAAUUGCAAAAUAAGCAGAGGGGGGUUAUAGACGCGGUUUUGAGCAGUAAACUAUGUGCUAUACCAUCAUGUAUUGUUAAAUCAAAAGAAAUUAAUUUCCUCUAUCUUACACCAGCAAGUUGUAAAUAUAGCUCUCUUAAAGUGAAUUUUGGUCCUACACUGUCGAUGUCAUGCUACUAUUUUAUAUAUAUAAGUCAGAGAACUCGUUUACAAAAGCAAAUUACACAUCACUUGGAGGUGUUUCCAAUUUCUUGCACCACUCUUACCAGUUCAAAGUUAAAGAGAAGUUCAUCGGUCAUGAGGAAUCAUCUCAAGACAAUCUUUCAUCAAGCUAAACACAAUAUUCUUCUCCGUCAAGGAUCAACUGCAACCACUUCAUCAACAUCAACAAAAUUAAUAGAUGUUUCCAAGGGUUAUGUUGGAGAGAACCAUAAUAAUAAGCAUAGAUUUGUGGUUCCCGUCUCUUGCUUGAAGCAUCCUUCGUUUCAAGACUUGUUAAGGCAUGCAGAGGAGGAAUACCGAUUUGAUUAUCCAAUGGGAGCCCUUACUAUCCCAUGUCACUACAACAAAAACAACUUUUAGUGGCAAUAAAUAUAGACAUUAAUAAAGAAUGCUAAAGUUUUUACCGGCAUUAGUUAAGUGUCAUUAGAACUAAUAUUGCUAAAGGCUUUAGGGACAAAAACAAAGAGUGUUAAUUGUUGCUAAAAAUACAUAUUUAGCGGCAAUUAAGCUAUUGCCGCUAAUGAUCAUUUUUUAUAUAGUGUGUACGUAGUGAGAGUGCAUUUCUCUGUGUCACUUCUCACUUGAAUGUCAAUACCAGUUAAUAAAGGCGGUGAAGAAGUAUAGUUCUUCAAGCUGUACAAUCAUGUAUAUUUGUAGGUUGGAAGAUUACUACAUUAAUCCUAACCUACAAGUGUAACUCUAUGUGAAAUUCACUAUAACAAUGCAAUAGUAAUUACGAACAAUAUAUUAAAUCAAAUUAUUCAUAUUACGAUCUUAUUGAGGAAUUGGAGUUUGAUUAUGCUAAUCUAUAACUAUCUGAAGUGUGUUUCUCUAUUAUGAAAGUAUCUUAAUUUUCCUCUGAUUGCAAACGAUGAUUUGGUUAUAUAAAACCUACAUUAAUGAGCAGCAAUUGCUACUGCAAAUACAAUGAAAUUUGAGCUGCACCCGCUGAAUUCUGAACUUUCAUUACAACCAAACAACAAGGGCAUGUAUCUGUCUUAUCUUAUGUACUGAUUACAUGUAUCUUCGUCUCCAGACUGAAAAGAUACAGUAGCAAAAGAAAUAAAUUAUUUGUAAUUGAUUCCACUGAUGCGAUCGAUACUGCAAACAAAUCAAGUAACUUCUCCAAGACUGAAACUAAUCCCUAUAUAUAUCAGAUGACUCAUUUGCAAAAGGCAUAAGCUUAUUUUUUUUUUCGCAAUACAUGAAUCAGUUGAAGAGAGGUUCAUUUAUCGUGAGAGUUCAACUCAAGACACUCUUUCAUCAUGCUAAACACAAUAUCCUUCUCCGUCAAACAUCAACUGCAGAGUUCAUCAGCAGCAUCAACAAAGUUAGCAAAUGUGUCCUACCUUUAGCUAAAGUCUGUAUUGAUUUCAAGAAAUUGUAAGAUAACUUUCUUCCAUGUGAUCAUUUUUCGAUCUACCUUGUUCCUCUUUAACACCUUCACUCAUCAUAAUGUCACAACUACAGACAGAUGCAUUUGUAGGUCAACGCAAGACAUGACUUAACCAUCUCUAAUUUAUCCUCAAUGUCACCUUCUAGUGAAUUAGGUCAUUUUUUAAUCCUAUGUUAAAAAAGAAAAAAAGGAAUUAUUACCGCACAUCCAUCUUAGUAUCUGCAUAUCUGCAACACUCAUCAUGCAUAUAUAUAUUGAACUUUAACAGUCCAGCAUUCACUAGCAUAUAACUUUGCCGGUCUUAUAACUUUUUUGUAGAACUUACCUUAGCUUUCACUUUGCUAGGCAUCCUUCCAUCAUUUAAAACCUCGGUAGCACUUCUUCUUUGAAGUCUAUGAGUAACAUCUUCAUCUAUAAUUUCAUUCUCUUAUAAUUAUAACGAGCCUAGUGUCUAAGUUGUUUGUAUUUCAACACCACAAUCCCUUUUAGUCUCACCUUAACUUUGCUCUUCUCAUGUUGACUAAAUUUCAAUGCAGAUAUUCGAUCUUACUUCUACUUAUCCAAAAAUCCUUACGUUCUAAAGUAAUGUUCCACAACUCAAGCAUUUGAUUGACACUUAAGUUAUUUCCAUCAAUCAAUACAAUAUCGUCAGCAAAUAGCACUUAUCAUGAUAUCUCAUAAUCCUAAAUCUACACGAUCUACCAAUCUUUCUCAUAGAGUUUCAUCGUAUGACCAUAUGAGUUUAAUAUUACAAUAGUUCGCAUAACUUUGAAUAUGUAAAUUUUUUUCAACAAACAAUAUAAUCCAUCUAUAUUUUAAAAAUUGAGAAAUUGAUCUUAUAUACAAGGUCUUAUUAAUUCUACUUUUGAGAAACUUCUUUUUAGCAAUGAUCGAAAAGAUUUACUUGUCAUUAUUCAUUAAUAAAUAAAUGACAUGAUUUGUUGUAAUAUUCCCCUUGUUUGUGACAUCAUCAAGAUUCAUAUUAUAACUUGGAUAUGGACAGUUAAAGCCUUUUUAACAUUGUUAGGAUGAUGUAAUUCCAAGAAUUAAGGACAAAUCAUAUUUCCAGAAGUAGGUGGUUUUUGAUAGGGACGAUUUGAUGAAAUUUAUGAUCGGAAGACAAAUUAUAAUAAGAGUCUUCUAAGCUUAUUUCAUAAGAAUUCAUAUACUAAGAUACACAAAAGAACACAACUUAUUAUUUAUGCAUUAAACAAACGAGAUAAAGAGAAAUUACUAAGUCAUAAGAGUUAGGUGGAUGAUUUAUUUAAUUUGUAGAAAAUUUUGAUUGGGAACUAAGAUAUCAAACUCUUAUGUUUUAUUCUAAGAUCACAAGCCAAAUUAAAUCAAAUCUAUUUAUAGUAAAAUAUUGCAAAUCUUUAUGAUCACUAUAUACUAUAUACAUUAUUAAAUGCAUGAGUAACAUGUGUUUGAAGUUACAUACAUGUGGACAGUUAACAAGUUGUUAUUAAUGAUGAAUCCAUAUAAUUACAAAGUGCAAUAAAUUAGUACCUAAAUAUGUAGUUGCACCUACUGAACAUGAAUGUGAUCUUCAUAAAAGUACAUACACAAAUGGGUAAGGAAGAUAUGUCAGGAUAAGAAGAUCAACUAAACUACUUCUUUAAAUAGACAAGUACUCGAGGUGGGUGGGUGUAAUUAUAUAAAUUAUAAUCUAUUGUUAAAUCAAGAAAAAUCUUUCAUCUUACAUGUUGGGUAAUGUCAAUAUCUUGCCUAUGACAAGGUCCACAACUGGUUAAGUGGCCUAGAUCGGAGUCAUGAUCGAACAUGACACUUACUUGAUGGAAUUAUUAGUUAAGAAAGAAAGUUACGCUUUUACUAUCAGCAAUAACUUUUGGCAUGGUGAUAACUGUUUGAUCCUAACAUUACCGCUACAAUUUAGGGAGAGCCACAAUUUACAAGGGUUCACAUACUCCAUAUUUGCAUUGUACACCCCCCUGAUCUGUAGCAUCAUGCAAAGUGAACCUUUCAGUACUAAUCCUAACAAUAAGUAUUUCCAACUAAUAUCAUACACUCUUUAUUCUGUCCCAAUAUAAAUGAUUCACUUUUGUUAGCUUAUGUUAAAAUAGAGGUAUUUAGGAUUUUGAGAAAGCAUUUUUGCAAAAAAAAAUAAAUGGAUCUCAAAUAUAUAAAUUUGACUGUUUUGAUCUUUUAAUUUUUAUCGCUGAACCUGCUAAACUUUAAAGAUAUAACAGUAUUUACUAUAAAUUUAAGUAAUUUUGUGUAUGUAAUCAAAUAUCCAAUUAGGAUAGGAGUUCUACAAAUGGAUUUACCAAUCUUUUUAGAUCAUUUCAAUUAAAAAAAAUGUCUCUUUUGUUUUUUUGGAAGUUAUUUAUUUCAUUUUUUAAUGUGACGUGUUUAUCCACAAAGUUAAAUGUUAUUUUGAUAUAUUCCACAUCUUUUAUUUAAGACCACAAAAUUCGAAAAAAUUCUUUACUUUCACAAACUUAAAUUAUUUAACAUAUAGAUUUUUUCAUAGGAGCUCCCGGAGGGUAGGGAUAGCUGGGUCAUUUGCAUUUUUGCCACUAUUUUGUAUUUGGUCUUUAAUUUUUAUCCCUCAUAACGAAUACUCAAUUUUUUGGCUAGGCGUAAGAUUAUACUUUUAUACCAUAAUAUUUAAAACUUUUGCAGGAACAUAUGAAUCUUGGAUCUAACUCAACCCCAAAAACCAACUGAGUGAAGGAUUAAUGUUCAAAUCCAUAUAAGGAGACCACCCCAUCCCUUUUUUCUUUGAUGUGGAUACCUCCACCUCACCUCACGACCCAUAUUGGACAUCUGAUGUGUGAGCAACAUAAUUUGGAAGCCAAUAUCGAUACACAAUUCUUGAGAUGGGACUUGCUUUGAUACCUUGUAAUUGAAAAAUGAAUACUGUGUUUUGCUCAACCGCAAAAGCUAAUCCACGAGGGGAAAUGAAACCAUCCCUCCCUUUUUCUUUCAUUAGAUGUGGCACUUUUCAAUAGGGCAUUGACUUUUAUUUCUAAAAACCUUAUUCCCCACUAGACAUGAGUUCCAGAGCAAAAUUUAAAAUAAUCAAUCCAUUUUGAAGGGUAAAACGUGCGAGCAUAAAUAUAAGAAGUAGCAACAAUUUGUUUAUUACAACAACACAUACACAUGGAUCCUCAUGAAUAGAUGCCUCUUUUACUUGUUUAAGCUCGAUCCAUGAGAACCCUAAUAAUACUACACAUGAUUUGACAUCUUGGUUAGUGAAUCAUGGCACAUCAAUUCUUCAU